AAUGGGAGAAACUUAGAAAAAUGUACGAAAAGAAUAUAAUGGUGGCACGCUACUCUCUUCUUAGAAUUUUACGCGAAGUCACUUCUAAUUCUCUCGUAGAGGUGAGAAGUGUUGUUGGGCUUCCGUGUAAUUGUCUCGCGUUGUAGAGCUUUUCUCUGCUCUCUCUCUCAAAGAGAACAGAGGAGAGAGAGAGAGAGAGAGGGGACGGUAAUGUAGAAAGCUCGACAGUGGAAAAAGCUUAAAAGCUGGGAGAUUUUGGAUUUCCAGGAAAGCCAAGGAGGAGAUCUCCACCAUUGCUGAAGAGAUCUCUAGGAUUAUUAUGGAAUAAUAGGGUGGAUGACUUGAAAAUAUGAGCUGGUGGCUGGUGGUGAAUUGGGGAGAUUUGCAAACUUAAGGAGAAAGGUGGUCUUGGUUCACCCUUUUCUAGAGAGUUGAAAAGUGUUCUUUUAUCAGAUGAUUAUGGCAAUCCAGGAAGGAGAAGAAGACUCGUGUACUGUAAAUAAGUCAUUGCAACCAAGUCUUUAUCUGAUACUGUUGAAGAGAAGAUGGUGGAUUUUGCAUUGGUUUACAGACCAAGGAGUUGCAGUAGAGUUUGUGUUAGGCGUUGUCAUUCAUAGGUUUUUCUUGAGAAAGUGUUGAAAUAGUUUGUUGCUUAGACUAGAGCUCCUUUUAAUGGUAAUGGUUGUAUUCUCCAAGGA